ensembl:lncRNA
AUUCAGGUAAAGACUCGGAUAUGACAACAUCAACAACAGUGAAGUCCACCACAAGAAAAUCAACAACAGAACCAACAAUUAAACCAACAUUAAAAAUAACAAGCAUAUGGACAACAAAAGAAGAAGUAAAGACAUCAGAAGGGACACCGACAACAAAUAUACAACCCCAGGGUAGAGACUGAAUCUGUCUUCUAUUGAAAUUUUAAUGUCAGACUGAGUCUUGUCUGUGUGUGGACAGACCGUUCUCACUCCCGAGGCAUAAUAUACUCACGAUUUGUCAUGUCUUAACACUAACCAUAACCUUAUCCCUAACCUUAACCAGCACUUUAAUAACGUUAGAAGUGUUUUCCAAAGUGAUUUAUGUAAAAUGAACGUACAUGUGUAGAUUCAUUCCAAACGGUUCUCAUGUUUCUUUAUUUUUUCGAUCUCGUAAUAUAGGGACGUGUUGGGUGUCCGGAAGCGUGAUACACUGACGAUUUGUCACCUAGCAUAAAAUGUUAGGCUUUGGGAGUGAGAACAUGUUGGUGUGGAAGAAAUUCAUUGUUUAACAUGUUUUAAUAAUCUCUCCAGUUCAGUCAGGGUUUAUCGUCAUUCCUGUGUGUUUAGCAGCACUCUUAAUCAUUGUUGUGGUGAUCAUCAGAUGGAAGAAAGCUAAAGGUGAAAACAUUGACAGAUGAACAUUUAACAUCAUAAGCAGAAUGAAGGAAAUAAAAUGUUUAAUUCUUUGAUUUCUAAUGUGGAAGUUCAACUAUUUUUUUUCUCUUAUCAGUAAACAAAGCACAACAGAGCGACAACAUGCAACUGAGCUUAAACCCUGCAGACACUGAGUCUGGUCCAGGAACCAAUCAGGAGACGGCUGAUGCUGAUGAUGGUGUUUCCUAUGCCUCCAUCAGCUUCACUAAGAAGACCAAGGAUAAAGCCCGGGCUUGUGGUGAUGAUGAUGACACUGUGACUUAUAGCACUAUGAAAGCUUCCUCCUCACCUGCUGGACUUUCCACUGAUCCCAGCGACCUCUAUUCCACCAUCAACAAACCAAAGAAAUAGGAUGUUUCUCAUGAAAUGUUUCAUGUUGUUUUUCUGGAUGCUGCAUGAAUGCUUGGAUCAUAGAGUAACUUCCUUUUUGUUUUUUUUUUAUGGUGACAUAUAUGGUAUAAUACUUGGUGUAUUUGUGCUGGGGCAACAAUGGUUAUGCUACAGAAUUGCUCAUUUUAAGAUCUCCAUUGUUAAUGUAGUCUAGUGAUAGUUACCUUUAUAUCAAAUUACAUAUCCACAGAAUAUUGUUGUUACAGUUUUUAUUAAUUUGCUGCGUGCCAUUUUUAACAAUACAAAAAGGGCCAUAAAACUAGGCUUGAGAGGUGUAUCUCACUGUAUCCAUGACGAUAUUAAACUUCCUGUUUGUGACAUCCAAAAACAUGACAGCAAAAACACUUAAUAUUCAACUUAAUUUCACAACAAAAGAAAAAAGAAUAUGAGUGUUGAUAACAUGUCUGAUUGUGCACGCCUAGUUUUAAAGAUUAGUGUGAACCAAAAUCCUGAAGUCGUGCAUACUGUUUGUGGGCUUUGAUACUAACAGGCUGACUUUCUUAUUCUGCUGUGCAGACUUGCUUUCCAGUUUCUUGGUAAGUAGAGUUUGAACUUUUCUAGUUUGUGCUAAACUUUCUGUUAUGAAUAUAAUUCCAUGUCCAUUGCAAAUAUGAUCUGUGUUGUUGGAUUGCACAGGUUAAGUAGCUUGAAAUCCAUCUUUUAAGCUGCUUUCAGUGAUUAUUCUAAAAAUAAAUAAUUUGUUGUUAUAAUUUAGUCUCAGUUUUAGAGUUUCAUUUUCUCCAUCAGUGUUUCCUGUAUUUUCCUCUUGUAUCAGCUCCCUAUGUUAAGUUCAUUCAUGUGUUUACAUUUCCCCAUUUAGUUUUGAUUGUCUCCUGUUUUUUUUUAUAUUUUCUUCUCUGGUUAUCCAGCUGUAUCAAUGUUCCAUAAUUACCCUCAUCUACAUUUAAAGUGCUAUACAAAUACAGGCCAUUUACCAUUUUACAUUUAGCAUUGUCUUUCCUUCAGACUUUGUCUUAGUGCUUGUUAUUCUCCCUGUCAGUUCCCAGUUGAUUUUAGACUCCUUUUUUAUUCUCUCAUGGGACUUUUCAUCAGUUGAAGUAAAGAAUUGCUUUUCAUCAAGUCAACCUUUGUUUGUUUUCCUUAGAAGUAUGCAGAAAGAUGAAGCAGUGCAUUAUAUGUGUGUGGUCAACAUUAGAGGGUUAAAACUCGAGAGCUGCUGUAUUUUUACCGAAACACUUCCUCUUCACUUCUCAGAAAGAAUGACUUCAGAGGUGUAAUGAGAAACCAAAAGGUCUCAGACCACUAACACAUUUUAUCAGUGUUCUCACCUCACAGCUAACAGUGGUCACUGCUGCAGUGUCAUGUUUCAUUGGAAACAUCAAGACUCAAAUUCUGAUGUGUAAUAAGUUUAAAUCUUGACCUCUUUUCAUGUGUGCAGACAAACAUCACCAUGAACACUGUUAAUCCAAACACUUAACUCAUCUAACAGUCUUCACAUAUUUAACUUUCUCUAAUCUGUUGGUAAUCAAGACAACAUCAAGACAAUCAUGUCAAGAGAUGACAAAGGGAGCCUGCAAAAUGCAUUGGAUAUACAAGUUAAAAUGUUAGAAGUUUUUCACUCAGCUAAUAUCUACAAUAGACAAAAGGAGGCUCAGAUGCAUAAAAGCCAUGAAAUAAAAGCUUUGGAUAUAAAAUCAGAAGUAAAGACAUGAGAAAUGACACUGACAACAGCACCAAA